AUUGAACGCUGGCGGCAUGCUUUACACAUGCAAGUCGAACGGUAACAGGGUGCUUGCACCGCUGACGAGUGGCGAACGGGUGAGUAAUACAUCGGAAUGUACCCAGUAAUGGGGGAUAACGCUUCGAAAGGAGUGCUAAUACCGCAUACGCCCUGAGGGGGGAAAGUGGGGGACCGCAAGGCCUCACGUUAUUGGAGCAGCCGAUGGCUGAUUAGCUAGUUGGUGAGGUAAAGGCUCACCAAGCCGACGAUCUGUAGCUGGUCUGAGAGGACGACCAGCCACACUGGGACUGAGACACGGCCCAGACUCCUACGGGAGGCAGCAGUGGGGAAUUUUGGACAAUGGGCGCGAAGCCUGAUCCAGCAAUGCCCGCGUGCAGGAUGAA
rnacentral:rRNA from 1 species